rnacentral:pre_miRNA from 1 species
CGCUUAUGAGUCGUGUUUACUGUGGACCUUGCUGUGUGACGUCACAAUAAGGCACGCGGUGAAUGCCAAUCAAAAGUCG